UCUGAUAAUCCAUGAUUGUAAAUUCUGUUUUGCUUUUUUGUCCCGAUGAUGUGAAAGGCAAGAUACAAAAGGAACAGAUUAUUUUGCUUGUGAGAGGAAAUGGCUCUGUAAUGUCCCUCUUCUCCUUCCAGGUCCUUUAGGCUGGAUGUUUGCUUUAUUUAUUGGGUUUGCUAUAAAUAGAGGCUCUGCUCAUCUGUAUCCCUGCUUCAUAAGCACUUUCUGAAUUAACCAUGAAACCAGAAACACCACUAUAUUGAUCCAGCCAAGGAUAUUAUUGGGGAUCCUGAUGACUGAUGGAGGAUAAAAAUAGAGAAUACUAGCUGCCAUACCAAGCCUCUCAACUGACUCAACUUCAAGUUUUAAGCUCAACUGACAAACCUUGUGAGAUGCUACUGAGAUCAAGAGAAUGAUCACAUGUCGGGAAUGCAGAAUAUGAGAGUUGAAUACCUCCGAUCCUCAUGACACAAAACUUCAGGUCAUCAGAGAAGCCAUUUUCCUGCACACCUCUGGCUGCGGUGCUGCUGAUACAGGAGACAGCAGAGUUUGAAGGCAGUGGAACACCAUGGGACCCACUUGCAAGGAAGCAAUGCAGCUCAGGGAAUAAUCUUCAGAUGACCUUGUCAAGAUAUAGCCAAGAACUUUGGCUUUAAUUAUUUUUGAAAACAAGAAUGCUCCAUGACAAUGGUUAUGAGAUCCCUGAAAUAUCUCUUAUGAAGUUCACAUUUUAAAUAGUCCUUGGGUAUGAAAUUUUAAAACUUACACAUCUAUGUAUUGAACUCUGAUUUCUUAAAAUAGAAAACUGGCAUUUUGUAUAUUGUUUCAGGUUACCAAGGGCUUCAUAAAUAAAAGGAGGUUUACAUUA